ACUGCUUUGCUUCAAUGCUUUAACAUUCAGCCGUAAUACUAAGUCUUGGAGCGGUCUUGAACACAUUACUUUGAGAAAAGAAUAAGGCUGUGUCAAAAUUCAGCUAGACCUGAUGGCGUUACCAAAUGCUUCAAUAAUUCGCAUAAUCAACUUCUAGGGUUGUUGCUUGUCAGGUUUGGAAAGAGUGAAAGACGCAGAUGGCGCUAAAUCAACACUACCUUAACACUGCAUAUUUACAUUACUACCCUAAACCUGAUCAUUAAUGAAGAUUUGAGUUGUGAAACUGAGAAGGCAGGAGACUUCAACAGACGAGGAAGAUCACUAUACACUAGGAUGGUCUGUGAUCGUGCUAGAUAGAAGCACUUCAUUGGUGAAAAAUUUGGACUUAUAUUCCCUUGAGAUUUUUUUAUUAAAGAAGAGGAGACAGAUGAGAUUAUUAAAGAAUACCAAAAGACUUCAUUUGGGAUAUUUAUAAUUAGGAAUAAAUAAAGUAAAAAGUGUAGAAAUUGAGUUAUAAAUUAUAAUUAGCACUAUAUUUUAGAUUUUUUUUUCAUUGUUUCUAAUUAUUGACUUUUUUAAAUAAAAUUUAACUAAUUAUUUUUUUUAUUGGUGUUUGAAAG
rnacentral:misc_RNA from 1 species